rnacentral:lncRNA from 1 species
UUUCAUAAAUCAAUUUGAUUGAUAGUGAACCACAUCAAGUUCCACUCUCUCUCGCUCUCUCUCUCUCUCUCGCUCUCUAGUGAACCAUGGGAAGUUUCCUAAGCAGGAGGACUCGUAUGUGUUCGAGGAGGACAGCAGCAGUGGCAGUCUGUCUCCAGAGCAACACCACAGUGAUGAGUCACAGGGGUCCGCAUGCCUAAGUGCAGCACCAGCCCUCAAUAGCCCUAAACCGGUUGCUCUGGAAUUCAUGAGACUGGUAUCUGUGGACCUCAAGAAGAUAUUCUUUCCAAGCUCCUUGAAUUCUACCGGGCCAAGAGCGAUGGAGGGAUGGAGCUAAAACAGCUUAUGGAAAGUCUUGACAAAGACAUAGGUUCCAUUCUAUUCACAUUAAAGUAUUUUGUACAUUUAUUACCUAUGUUUUGCUGUAUUGAUAAUUGCUACUUUUUUAAAUACACAUCAAUAUUGGGGGUGAGACCUUAAUAUUGACAACUACAUUUAACAAUGUUGUAAAACAGUCAAUUAGGCUUUUUAUGUUAGAGUUCCAAUCAAAGGAAGAGAGAGGCUGUGCUCCGAGGAUUGCCAUACUUCCUGCAAGAAGACCCUACCAAUUUUUUUUAAAGAUGUGAGGCAUACAACCCUACAACAUAACCUUAUGCUUUCUCCCAGGAGUGAAAUUUCCUAUGAAUCGUGAUGCAUUGUAACGUUCAAUGGGGUCAAGAUGAAUGUCUGUCACCAUCUGUAGUGAUUGUAGCACACAGGCCAAAUCAAAUGUGAACCAACUACAGUAUAUAAGGGCAUCUCUUUUAACAAUGUUUUAGAUGUUUUACUUUUACUCCCUUUCUAGACAUUCAAUUGAGAAUAGUGAUUUAGCAUGCUUUUUGUCCAGAAGAAACUAAGUCUUUAUCUUGGACAACUUCAUCUUGGACUGCAAAGCAAAAAUCAGGACCAUACAUUAAACCCAAUACUAGGUUUGGGCGAUAAUACCUAACUACCAUGUAAACUACUAUUGAUAGCUGUUGUCGACGGCUUUGAAAUGUAAGUAUGCGCAGGUUUUUGGAUAUUUUAAUGUAUCACACAUCCCUGGUGUAUGGCAGCACACAAUACUGCUGUGCCCUUAGUGAUAUGUCAAAUUCCCCCUUAGACAAUUAACAGAAUUAAAGUGGCACUGUGAGGAAUUCCAAAUUCUAUACCAAAGCUGUACAAAUAUUUAUUAUUGAUGGGACAAUCCGUCCCUACACCAUGCAGUGCUGAUUUUGCCAUCUGAACAGGAAUUGCAAUCAGUUUUGCUUCAACAUUGUUUGUCAGUGGGCUCGCUCCGGUCCGUCUUCAAUAUAAACUUAGCAUUUUAGGCUAUACUUUUGUGUAACAAACUAAUUACUUAUUGUAGGGAAUCAUUGUCCUAUUUUUUACAUUUCUAGAGAUAUAGUUUUGCAGCUUUUGUAAGCUGGUCAUUUUAAAAAGAAAGUAGAUGUGGAAUUCUACACAGUGCACCUCUAAUAUAAUGAAUGUUGUAGAUUGCCAAAACAGCACUGAAUGAUAGAUGAUGCUUUACAUGGUUUUCCCCCUUAGGGUAGCCUAGUGGUUAGAGUGUUGGACUAGUAACCGGAAGUUCAAACCCCCGAGCUGACAAGGUACAAACCUGUCAUUCUGCCCCUGAACAGGCAGUUAGCCCACUGCUCCUAGGCCGUCAAUAAAAAUAAGAAUUUGUUCUUAACUGACUUACCUAGUUAAAUAAAGGUAAAAUGUUUUUAAAAAAUCAGUGUUGGAUGAACGUAGGCCUUUGCGGCGCUAUAGCAACAAUCAUUUUUAGCAAAUUGGAAAAUAACAGACAUGUUUUACCUCAACCUAAGAACACAUUAUUUCUAGACCUGGGAGCAAUCAUGGUUAACUGACGUGCUUGAGGACCAUGCUUGUUUACUGGCGCAACGCUCUUGACCACUAGGCUACCUGCCACCCCACUUGCCUGCAUCAAUAUGCAACAGUACAUUUGCUGACAUUUUCACAGAAAGAAAAUGUAUUGUAGGAUGUUUUGUAGGGCAAUGCCUUUAUUCUUUGCCUCUUUUUUGUUCUGUUUUUCAGAAGACAACUGAUUCUGAGGAAGUCACCCAUGGAGUGAAAAUACACUUGUCGUUGUGGAUG